UCUGCAAGUUUACUGUUAAAAAAAACCAGCCAGGAGGGCGACAGAGCAGAGCAGAGCUGAGCCGUGAGGAGAGCAGAGUUUGCCGAAUACAUGAGACUGUGUGUCCCGGUGUCGGAAAUUAUUAUCUCCGCAUUCUGGGAAUUUCAUUUGCCACCAGACAAGUGGCUGCGGGUUGAAGCUGCUUCUUUGCCUUUCUGUGAGCGUAGCGACCCGGACACGACGUUAGCAGGAGCGGC
rnacentral:lncRNA from 1 species